rnacentral:SRP_RNA from 2 species
GCCGGGCGUGAUGGCUCAUGCCUGUAAUCCCUGCACUUUGGGAGGCUGAGGCAGGUGGAUCACCUGAGGUCAGGAGUUUGAGACCAGCCUGGCCAACAUGGUGAAACCCCGUCUCUA